rnacentral:rRNA from 1 species
AUGAUUCCAAAAACUUUGUGUGAUUUGCUACGUUUCCGUGAUUUUGAUGAUUGUUCUUUAAACUUGCACCUUGCGGAUUCCACAAUUAAGAAACCUAUGGGAAGAAUUAAUGAUGUUCUUAUUGUUGCAAAUAGGAACUAUGUGCUCGUCGAUUUCAUUGUUCUUGAUAUAGAUUGGAAUCCUUCAUGUCCUAUUAUUCUUGGUAGACCUUUCCUUAGAACGAUUGGUGCAAUUAUUGAUAUGAAGGAAGGGAAUAUUAAAUUGCAAUUUCCAUUAAGGAAAGGCAUGGAACACUUCCCUAGAAAGAAAAUUAAAUUACCAUAUGAAUAUAUUAUGAGAUCCACUUAUGGAUUUCCUACCAAAGAUGGCAAUACCUAG